rnacentral:rRNA from 1 species
UACAGAGGGUGCGAGCGUUAAUCGGAAUUACUGGGCGUAAAGCGCGCGUAGGCGGCUUUGCAAGUCGGGUGUGAAAUCCCCAGGCUUAACCUGGGAACUGCAUUCGAGACUGCAUUGCUAGAGUAUGGGAGAGGGAAGUGAAUUUCCGGUGUAGCGGUGAAAUGCGUAGAUAUCGGAAGGAACAUCAGUGGCGAAAGCGACUUCCUGGACCAAUACUGACGCUCAUGUGCGAAAGCGUGGGGAGCAAACAGG